rnacentral:lncRNA from 1 species
AGGUGCUUCCAUUUACUUUGUUAACUUGUCUAAGGCCUCUAUUCAGCUAUUUGGCUCCACGAAACACUCGAUGCAUGAUAGAAAAACUACGAGUUUGUCUACCUGCUUUGCAAUUUGCCUCCUGCAUUUGAUAGAAAAACUGUAAGUUGUUUUAGUUUUCUCAGUAACAAGAAAACGCAAGUGGUCUGUACAACCGGUUUAUACAUUUAGUGAAUUAGACAAGCUUUCAUGCACAUUCUUCUCUUUUUCUAUUUCUUAUGCAGUAGCAAAGACAUUUUGUUAACCAACAAUAAUUAACAGUGGCAAGAACUGCUCUCAGAAACAAAUGUCGCCAAAUUUCACAAAUUGUUGUUCAGCUCCCAUUAUCAAUUCAAACCCGUAAAGAUCAUUCCCUAGAGUUCAGUAAGACUAGUCGAGGUAAAUUCUCCAAGAAUUGUUUACUCUGAGAUCUGAAAAAAGCAUAAGGCCCUAUGCUAUGCGGGAGCUUUAUAAAUCCAUGGUUUUAAAGCAUUAUGUUGCCCUGAUUGUUUAGCUGCCAUUUUCAACAAACAAAGAUUAAACUCAAAGAAGAGAAAAAAAUAAUGAAAAUAUUUUAGGUGAUUUUACCGAAUAAUAAACUCAAUAUCACUAUUUGUAUGAUAUAACAGCCUAAAAUAGCAAGUGAUGGUUGACGAUUAUGAAGCAUGGACGUGGCUAAAGGACUACUAAAAGCCUUCAUGGUAAAUCUUCAAAAUAUAGAGUAUUGCAUGGCUGGAAUAUGGGAAUAAAAGAAUGAGCACAUGCAUGCAUGCAUGGACGGCAAACCAUUAAAGAAGGAAAUAUUGUAUGCCUGCUGCCCACCCCCUUGCCCAAGUUCAACAUUCAUCAAAAAAAAUAAGCAACCCUCCCCGAAGGACCAGGAUAUAUCUAGAUAGGGUUUUAAAAGAAAUAAUGAUGAAAAAAAUAAGAUACUUAAAAAUAAACACUGACAAAUAUCCUAGGUAUAUCUAACAAGUUUCGGUAGCUGAUAUGUAUCAGAUCAUGCACAUUGAAAUAUCUGUACUACCUAGGUUGGCAAAAGGCCUGGGAUCAUAUCUUUUUAGGUCUAUUCUGAAUGUACAAUUCAAUUUCGGUAGUCAUUUUUCAUUUCAGUUGGAAAAUACAGUCGGAUAUUUGGAGUACUAUAAGUGAUCAAGGGAUAGUAACUCAUAUCACAGGAGGAAAUUUUGCACAGAUUUCCAUUACUAUUAACGGGUGGCUCCGAGCUACAAAGUUCAGAAGCAACAAGAUAAGGAUUCUAACUGGAUAAAUACAUAUUCAUGUUUACCUCCUCACACGCUUUGCAUCAGCAGGGUCUAUAUUUUCUGUUGUUUCCACUUCUCCUUCAAGUUCCUCAUCAUCCGACUGCUCUCCUGAUGAUCCACUGGUAGUUGGGCUCCCUUGGACGCCUAAGUUCUACAUGAAGGUAGGAGCUGGACCUCCACUUGAUCCACUACCUGCUUUUUGUUGCACCUUGGAGCCGUUUCCUGUCAUGCAUGGGUAGAUGCAAGAAGGAAAAAAGAAAGAAAGAAAGAAAAAGAAAUAUCUCAUGUUUAAAAAACCAAUCCACGCACCACAAUGUGCUCAUAAAAAGUAGCAAUCCACCAAUAACAUUU